UGGCGGCGUGCCUAAUACAUGCAAGUCGAACGGUCUUUCUAUGGAAGCUUGCUUCCACUGAGAAGAUAGUGGCGAACGGGUGAGUAACACGUGGGUAAUCUGCCCAUAAGAGGGGGAUAACAUCCGGAAACGGGUGCUAAUACCGCAUAGUUUUCUUGAUCGCAUGAUCGGGAAAGGAAAGACGGCCUUUGUGCUGUCGCUUAUGGAUGGACCCGCGGCGUAUUAGUUAGUUGGUGAGGUAACGGCUCACCAAGACGAUGAUACGUAGCCGACCUGAGAGGGUGAUCGGCCACAUUGGGACUGAGACACGGCCCAAACUCCUACGGGAGGCAGCAGUAGGGAAUCUUCCGCAAUGGACGAAAGUCUGACGGAGCAACGCCGCGUGAGUGAAAGAAGGUUUUCGGAUCGUAAAACUCUGUUGUCAGAGAAGAACAAGUUGGAGAGUAACUGUUCCAGCCUUGACGGUAUCUGACCAGAAAGCCACGGCUAACUACGUGCCAGCAGCCGC
rnacentral:rRNA from 1 species